AUAAUGUUGCAAUAGUAAUUCAACCUAGUAUGAGCAGAAUCGUUGAUUCGCACAAUUGAUCAUCACUGAUUGGUUAAAACGAUAGUGGCACGAAGCUACCAACGUGGAUUAUGAAUGAACACCUUUAGCUUAGAAUGCAUGCUAGAAGCAACGCAUGCGCCUGAUGUCCACUUAUCGACCCCAGUAGGGGCCUCUGGCCUGAAAUGGCAUGUGAUAUUGGCAAAGUUAUUGCGGUAGAAGGAUCGCAAUGAAUGCUUUGAAGUACAAUUUCCAUCAGAAGGCAAGUUGAAUCCUUAGUAGAUGACUUAAAUACGCGAGGUGUAUUGUAAAUAGUAGAGUGGCCUUGCUGCCAUGAUCCACUAAGAUUUAUCCUUAUCACUCCAAUUC
rnacentral:ncRNA from 1 species